rnacentral:rRNA from 1 species
UACGUAGGGCGCAAGCGUUGUCCGGAAUUAUUGGGCGUAAAGAGCUCGUAGGCGGCUUGUCGCGUCGAUUGUGAAAGCCCGGGGCUUAACUCCGGGUCUGCAGUCGAUACGGGCAGGCUAGAGUGUGGUAGGGGAGAUCGGAAUUCCUGGUGUAGCGGUGAAAUGCGCAGAUAUCAGGAGGAACACCGGUGGCGAAGGCGGGAUCUCUGGGCCGAUACUGACGCUGAGGAGCGAAAGCGUGGGGAGCGAACAGG